GACAGAGGGUGCAAGCGUUGUUCGGAAUUACUGGGCGUAAAGCGCGUGUAGGCGGCCCUGUAAGUCGGGUGUGAAAUCCCACGGCUCAACCGUGGAAGUGCAUUCGAAACUACAGGGCUAGAGUUCUGGAGAGGAAGGUGGAAUGCUUGGUGUAGAGGUGAAAUUCGUAGAUAUCAAGCGGAACACCGGUGGCGAAGGCGGCCUUCUGGACAGUACCUGACGCUGAGACGCGAAAGCGUGGGGAGCAAACAGG
rnacentral:rRNA from 1 species